GGUGAACGCUGGCGGCGUGCCUAAGACAUGCAAGUCGAGCGGGCCGCGGGGUUUUACUCCGUGGUCAGCGGCGGACGGGUGAGUAACGCGUGGGUGACCUACCCGGAAGAGGGGGACAACCCGGGGAAACUCGGGCUAAUCCCCCAUGUGGACCCGCCCCUUGGGGUGUGUCCAAAUGGUGUUGCCCGCUUCCGGAUGGGCCCGCAUCCCGUCAGCCAGUUGGUGGGGUAAUGGCCCACCAAGGCGACGACGGGUAGCCGGCCUGAGAGGGUGGCCGGGCACAGGGGGACCGAGACACGGCGCCCACUCCUACUGGGGGCAGCAGUUAGGAAUCCUACGCAAUGGGCGCAAGCCUGACGGAGAGACGCCGCUUGGAGGAAGAAGUCCGUCGCGGUGUAAACUCAUGAACCCGGGACGAAACCCCCGACGAGGGGACUGACGGUACCGGGGUAAUAGCGCCGGCCAACUCCGUG
rnacentral:rRNA from 1 species